CCUGGCUCAGGACGAACGCUGGCGGCGUGCUUAACACAUGCAAGUCGAACGAUGAACCACUUCGGUGGGGAUUAGUGGCGAACGGGUGAGUAACACGUGGGCAAUCUGCCCUGCACUCUGGGACAAGCCCUGGAAACGGGGUCUAAUACCGGAACUGACCCUCGUGGGCAUCUGCGCGGUUCGAAAGCUCCGGCGGUGCAGGAUGAGCCCGCGGCCUAUCAGCUUGUUGGUGAGGUAAUGGCUCACCAAGGCGACGACGGGUAGCCGGCCUGAGAGGGCGACCGGCCACACUGGGACUGAGACACGGCCCAGACUCCUACGGGAGGCAGCAGUGGGGAAUAUUGCACAAUGGGCGAAAGCCUGAUGCAGCGACGCCGCGUGAGGGAGACGGCCUUCGGGUUGUAAACCUCUUUCAGCAGGGAAGAAGCGAAAGUGACGGUACCUGCAGAAGAAGCGCCGGCUAACUACGUGCCAGCAGCCGCGGUAA
rnacentral:rRNA from 1 species